rnacentral:rRNA from 1 species
UACCAGGAUCCCCUAGUACGGCGAGUGAAGCGGGAAGAGCUCAAAUUUGUAAUCUGGCACUUUCAGUGUCCGAGUUGUAAUCUCGAGAAGUGUUUUCCGCGCCGGACCGCAUACAAGUCUGUUGGAAUACAGCGUCAUAGUGGUGAGAACCCCGUAACUGAUGCGGAUGCCCGGUGCUUUGUGAUACACUUUCGAAGAGUCGAGUUGUUUGGGAAUGCAGCUCAAAUUGGGUGGUAAAUUCCAUCUAAAGCUAAAUAUUGGCGAGAGACCGAUAGCGAACAAGUACCGUGAGGGAAAGAUGAAAAGCACUUUGGAAAGAGAGUUAACAGUACGUGAAAUUGUUGGAAGGGAAACGAUUGAAGUCAGACUUGUUAUCUGGAGUUCAGCCUUUCGGUGUACUCUCCAGUUUACAGGCCAGCAUCAGUUUUCGGGGCGGGAAAAUCGUAAUUAGAAGGUAGCAGCCUAGCUGUGUUAUAGCUUUUUACUGGAUUCCGCUUUGGGGACUGAGGAACGCAGUGUGCUUUUAGCAAUACCCUCGGGUAUUUCACACUUAGGAUGCUGGUGGAAUGGCUUUAAACGACCCGUCUUGAACAACGGGACCA